GGGCUAAGCGGGAGCGUCUGCAAGUGUUUUCAGCCUACUGCGCAGGGUGGGAUAGUGCAAUGGCAUUUGGGACCCCUCUGCCCCUUACUUGAUUGAGGAUCCACUGUGCUCUGUUAGAAUGUCCUUCCCUGUCAGAAGGACUUUUAGCCUACUCGUAGCUAUGCGCUGCCAACGGAUCAUGGACUUGCGACGUCUGUGUACCACGCGUCUUCAGCCUUAAAG